AGAGUUUGAUCCUGGCUCAGGACGAACGCUGGCGGCGUGCUUAACACAUGCAAGUCGAACGGAAAGGCCCUGCUUUUGUGGGGUGCUCGAGUGGCGAACGGGUGAGUAACACGUGAGUAACCUGCCCUUGACUUUGGGAUAACUUCAGGAAACUGGGGCUAAUACCGGAUAGGAGCUCCUGCUGCAUGGUGGGGGUUGGAAAGUUUCGGCGGUUGGGGAUGGACUCGCGGCUUAUCAGCUUGUUGGUGGGGUAGUGGCUUACCAAGGCUUUGACGGGUAGCCGGCCUGAGAGGGUGACCGGCCACAUUGGGACUGAGAUACGGCCCAGACUCCUACGGGAGGCAGCAGUGGGGAAUAUUGCACAAUGGGGGAAACCCUGAUGCAGCCACGCCGCGUGCGGGAUGACGGCCUUCGGGUUGUAAACCGCUUUCGCCUGUGACGAAGCGUGAGUGACGGUAAUGGGUAAAGAAGCACCGGCUAACUACGUGCCAGCAGCCGCGGUGAUACGUAGGGUGCGAGCGUUGUCCGGAUUUAUUGGGCGUAAAGGGCUCGUAGGUGGUUGAUCGCGUCGGAAGUGUAAUCUUGGGGCUUAACCCUGAGCGUGCUUUCGAUACGGGUUGACUUGAGGAAGGUAGGGGAGAAUGGAAUUCCUGGUGGAGCGGUGGAAUGCGCAGAUAUCAGGAGGAACACCAGUGGCGAAGGCGGUUCUCUGGGCCUUUCCUGACGCUGAGGAGCGAAAGCGUGGGGAGCGAACAGGCUUAGAUACCCUGGUAGUCCACGCUGUAAACGGUGGGUACUAGGUGUGGGGUCCAUUCCACGGGUUCCGUGCCGUAGCUAACGCUUUAAGUACCCCGCCUGGGGAGUACGGCCGCAAGGUUAAAACUCAAAUGAAUUGACGGGGCCCCGCACAAGCGGUGGAGCAUGUGGUUUAAUUCGAUGCAACGCGUAGAACCUUACCUGGUCUUGACAUGUCUGGAAUCCUGCAGAGAUGCGGGAGUGCCUUCGGGAAUCAGAACACAGGUGCUGCAUGGCUGUCGUCAGCUCGUGUCGUGAGAUGUUGGGUUAAGUCCCGCAACGAGCGCAACCCUUGUUCACUGUUGCCAGCACGUUAUGGUGGGGACUCAGUGGAGACCGCCGGGGUCAACUCGGAGGAAGGUGGGGAUGACGUCAAGUCAUCAUGGCCCUUACGGCCAGGGCUACACACGUGCUACAAUGGCAUGUACAGAGGGCUGCAAGCUAGCGAUAGUGAGCGAAUCCCAAAAAGCGCGUCGUAGUCCGGAUCGGAGUCUGCAACUCGACUCCGUGAAGUCGGAAUCGCUAGUAAUCGCGAAUCAGAAUGUCGCGGUGAAUACGUUCCCGGGCCUUGUACACACCGCCCGUCAAGUCAUGAAAGUUGGUAACACCCGAAGCCGGUGGCCUAACCGUUGUGGGGGAGCCGUCGAAGGUGGGACUGGUGAUUAGGACUAAGUCGUAACAAGGUAGCCGUACC
rnacentral:rRNA from 1 species